GACGAACGCUGGCGGCGUGCCUAAUACAUGCAAGUAGAACGCACAGUUUAUACCGUAGCUUGCUACACCAUAAACUGUGAGUUGCGAACGGGUGAGUAACGCGUAGGUAACCUGCCUGGUAGCGGGGGAUAACUAUUGGAAACGAUAGCUAAUACCGCAUAAUAUUAAUUAUUGCAUGAUAAUUGAUUGAAAGAUGCAAUUGCAUCACUACCAGAUGGACCUGCGUUGUAUUAGCUAGUAGGUGAGGUAACGGCUCACCUAGGCGACGAUACAUAGCCGACCUGCGAGGGUGAUCGGCCACACUGGGACUGAGACACGGCCCAGACUCCUACGGGAGGCAGCAGUAGGGAAUCUCCGGCAAUGGACGAAAGUCUGACCGAGCAACGCCGCGUGAGUGAAGAAGGUUUUCGGAUCGUAAAGCUCUGUUGUAAGAGAAGAACGGGUGUGAGAGUGGAAAGUUCACACUGUGACGGUAUCUUACCAGAAAGGGACGGCUAACUACGUG
rnacentral:rRNA from 1 species